rnacentral:rRNA from 1 species
CAGCCGCCGCGGUAAUACGAAGGGUGCAAGCGUUAAUCGGAAUUACUGGGCGUAAAGCGUGCGUAGGCGGUUUGUUAAGUCUGUUGUGAAAUCCCCGGGCUCAACCUGGGAAUGGCAGUGGAUACUGGCAAGCUAGAGUGUGUCAGAGGAUGGUGGAAUUCCCGGUGUAGCGGUGAAAUGCGUAGAGAUCGGGAGGAACAUCAGUGGCGAAGGCGGCCAUCUGGGACAACACUGACGCUGAGGCACGAAAGCGUGGGGAGCAAACAGGAUUAGAUACCCCAGUAGUCCCUGUCUCUUAUAA